rnacentral:lncRNA from 1 species
UCUCUCUCUCUCUCUCUCUCUCUCAUGUAUAUCCAGAAUCUCCAUCAGUACUAUUGGGUUCCGUAUCACCUGAACAAAAGGAAUUGCCACAGGCCGAGGACAUGAGAACCCGAGAUAUCUUCGAGCCAACGAAAUUAGUCGGCAAUCCAAAAACAACCGUGAUUAGUAGGAAAAGGUGUUUGGGGCAUGCGACGCACGUCGAUCGUAGUAGGUUAGAAGCUCACGCCACCAGACCAUCGAAGACGCGCUCCGACAGUUACCGCACAGUGAGAAGCAAACAAAAGAGAAAUGGAGCAAGCAAGUAACCAGCUAAGGUUCACAAGGAUCCCACACUCAUCUCGGUCACUCCCUCCCCCAACCUGCCGCAGCCGCUCGGAUGAGCAGUUCGACUGUUCACGAGAGAGAAUGGGCAUUGAGAACAUCUAGAGCAUCAAGAGUCGUACAUUUUAAGAUUUAUAACUUACGCUUGCAGCCAUAACUCACCUCUCCACGUGGCCCUAUGGUCCUUGAAUUAAAUUAGUUGAACUAAAAGCUGGUGGAAAUAGUGCCCCCGAAGAAGACUCUUGGCACAAUUAAGCAACCCAAGGAUAACAGAGAGGCCGGGAGAUAACGCACUGAGGCACGUCAUUCACUGCGCGAUCCUGUAGACAGCCUCCGUGCCUCCACACGAGACCCGUCGCGAUUUUGUCUGCGAUGCGUGGACACCCCAGCUCCAGCUCCAGCUCCAGCUCACCAAAUCGCAUGCACGAGGACGACAUCGAACCAAUAUUAACGUAGGUUACUGAGAUCGAGGUUGCACAAAUAUCAGUGAAAAACGGCCGUAGAGAGAGAAUGGUGGUACGAGAACUCACAGCAGAGUGGAGAGAGGGACAAGGGAGCACUGGUCGCUUUCCACUCAUGUUCUUUCCGUCAGCCCCCUACCUUGGGGUUCUCUCUUGCGUUUACCGCCCCUUAGGAGAACGUAGAUGAGGAGGUGGCCGGAUGAUUGAUUCGCUGGAGGAUGAAAAAGAGGCAGGCAUGAGAAAACUGCGGAGAAACAGGCCGGCCCUGGUCACCGCAGCCGCACCUCCAUGUAAACGCAGGUCGCUCCCCCACGUCAACGAAGCCCAGGAGUUUUAAGCAAGUACGGUGAACGUGAGUUUUGUCCAACAAAGACAUUCCCCGUACCUCGCGGCUCGCUUGCCCCGACUGGACUCUCUCCGCUCCCGAGAGGCCGCGAGGCAGAAGAAUCCAGCGCGGGCGACGACGAACGAAGGAGUCUACCUGAGCCCCGUAGGCGCCGAUGGAGUUCCGGGGGAGUACAGGGCGCUCGAUCGUUUCGCCUUUACCAUGUCAUUCGAUCUCGCAACUCGACUGCACGGGACUGCGUUCGUCGUCCGUCCGGGGCAAGAGAGAGGGAGAGGCGCAUCGAGAGACAGUGGGAACGGCUGGGUCGCUCUCCGUCUGUUGAUUUUGCGUUCGCGGAAGACAAUGGGAGGCCGUUUACCAACCCAAGCGCAGGGUGGGUCCUGGCCAAACAUGCCAUCGUUAUCUCGAGGAAGAGGCCGACUGGCUGCGAUCACCUAGGAGAUGAGGGGGGAGGAGAAUACACCCCCCCCCCCUG